CCUACGGGUGGCAGCAGUGAGGAAUCUUGGUCAAUGGGCGGGAGCCUGAACCAGCAAAGUAGCGUGAAGGAUGACAGCCCUAUGGGUUUUAAACUUCUUUUAUAAGGGAAUAAAGUGCCCCACGUGUGGGGUUUUGUAUGUACAUUAUGAAUAAGCAUCGGCAAAUUCCGUGCCAGCAGCCGUGGUAAUCCGGAAGAUGCGAGCGUUAUCCGGUAUUAGUGGGAUUAAAGGGAGCGUAGGCGGUUCCAUAAGUCAGAGGUAAAAUCGUGCGGCGCAAACGUACCGUGUGGUGGAAACUGUGGAGCUUGAGUAUGCGCAGGGUACAUGGAAUUCGUGGUGUAGCGGUGAAAUGCUUAGAUAUCACGAAGAACACCGAUCGCGAAGGCAGUGUACCGGAACAAGACUGACGCUGAGGCUCGAAAGUGCGGGUAUCAAACAGGACUAGAUACCCUAGUAGUC
rnacentral:rRNA from 1 species